AUUGAACGCUGGCGGCAGGCUUAACACAUGCAAGUCGAGCGGGGGAAGGUAGCUUGCUACCGGACCUAGCGGCGGACGGGUGAGUAAUGCUUAGGAAUCUGCCUAUUAGUGGGGGACAACAUCUCGAAAGGGAUGCUAGUACCGCAUACGUCCUACGGGAGAAAGCAGGGGAUCUUCGGACCUUGCGCUAAUAGAUGAGCCUAAGUCGGAUUAGCUAGUUGGUGGGGUAAAGGCCUACCAAGGCGACGAUCUGUAGCGGGUCUGAGAGGAUGAUCCGCCACACUGGGACUGAGACACGGCCCAGACUCCUACGGGAGGCAGCAGUGGGGAAUAUUGGACAAUGGGGGGAACCCUGAUCUAGCCAUGCCGCGUGUGUGAAGAAGGCCUUAUGGUUGUAAAGCACUUUAAGCGAGGAGGAGGCUACUCUAGUUAAUACCUAGGGAUAGUGGACGUUACUCGCAGAAUAAGCACCGGCUAACUCUGUGCCAGCAGCCGCGGUAA
rnacentral:rRNA from 1 species